GCUGAGCACUCCUACGGGAGGCAGCAGUGGGGAAUAUUGCACAAUGGGCGCAAGCCUGAUGCAGCCAUGCCGCGUGUAUGAAGAAGGCCUUCGGGUUGUAAAGGUACUUUCAGCAGUGAGGAAGGUGGGUAUGUUAAUAGCAUACUCAUUUGACGUUAGCUGCAGAAGAAGCACCGGCUAACUCCGUGCCAGCAGCCGCGGUAAUACGGAGGGUGCGAGCGUUAAUCGGAAUUACUGGGCGUAAAGCGCAUGCAGGUGGUUUGUUAAGUCAGAUGUGAAAGCCCGGGGCUCAACCUCGGAAUUGCAUUUGAAAACUGGCAAACUAGAGUACUGUAGAGGGGGUAGAAUUUCAGGUGUAGCGGUGAAAUGCGUAGAGAUCUGAAGGAAUACCGGUGGCGAAGGCGGCCCCCUGGACAGAUACUGACACUCAGAUGCGAAAGCGUGGGGAGCAAACAGGAUUAGAUACCCUGGUAG
rnacentral:rRNA from 1 species